rnacentral:rRNA from 1 species
UUGCUACCCGCUGACGAGCGGCGGACGGGUGAGUAAUGCAUAGGAAUCUGCCCGAUAGUGGGGGAUAACCUGGGGAAACCCAGGCUAAUACCGCAUACGUCCUACGGGAGAAAGGGGGCUCCGGCUCCCGCUAUUGGAUGAGCCUAUGUCGGAUUAGCUAGUUGGUGAGGUAAAGGCUCACCAAGGCGACGAUCCGUAGCUGGUCUGAGAGGAUGAUCAGCCACAUCGGGACUGAGACACGGCCCGAACUCCUACGGGAGGCAGCAGUGGGGAAUAUUGGACAAUGGGCGAAAGCCUGAUCCAGCCAUGCCGCGUGUGUGAAGAAGGCCCUCGGGUUGUAAAGCACUUUCAGCGAGGAAGAACGCCUAGUGGUUAAUACCCAUUAGGAAAGACAUCACUCGCAGAAGAAGCACCGGCUAACUCCGUGCCAGCAG